AGAGCAACAACUCAACUGACUAAACAAGUGGUACGAAUAUACUUUACAAAGCAAUAAAAAAAACAAUAAAAAUUAAUUUAAAAAAUGAUAAAAAAUUAAAUUAAAUUAAAUU
rnacentral:rRNA from 1 species